AGCAGCCGCGGUAAUUCCAGCUCCAAUAGCGUAUAUUAAAGUUGUUGUGGUUAAAAAGCUCGUAGUAGAACCUUGGGCCUGGCUGGCCGGUCCGCCUCACCGCGUGCACUGGUCCGGCCGGGCCUUUCCCUCUGUGGAACCGCAUGCCCUUCACUGGGUGUGCCGGGGAAACAGGACUUUUACUUUGAAAAAAUUAGAGUGCUCCAGGCAGGCCUAUGCUCGAAUACAUUAGCAUGGAAUAAUAGAAUAGGACGUGUGGUUCUAUUUUGUUGGUUUCUAGGACCGCCGUAAUGAUUAAUAGGGACAGUCGGGGGCAUCAGUAUUCAAUUGUCAGAGGUGAAAUUCUUGGAUUUAUUGAAGACUAACUACUGCGAAAGCAUUUGCCAAGGAUGUUUUCAUUUAUCAGGAACGAAAGUUAGGGGAUCGAAGACGAUCAGAUACCGUCGUAGUCUUAACCAUAAACUAUGCCGACUAGGGAUCGGACGAUGUUAUUUUUUGACUCGUUCGGCACCUUACGGGA
rnacentral:misc_RNA from 1 species